UGCAGUCGGACGACAGGCGAGGAAUCCGCAAGGAGGAAUCGUGCUGAGUGGCGAACGGGUGAGUAAGACAUGGGGACGUACCCUCAAGAGGGGGAUAGCAUUCCGAAAGGGAUGGUAAUACCCCGUAAGCUCGAGAGAGGGAAGGUGCAACAGCACCGCUUGAGGAGCGACUCAUGGCCCAUCAGUUAGUUGGUGAGGUAAAGGCCCACCAAGGCUAUGACGGGUAGCUGGUCUGAGAGGAUGGUCAGCCACACUGGGACUGAGACACGGCCCAGACUCCUACGGGAGGCAGCAGUGGGGAAUUUUUCCCAAUGGGCGAAAGCCUGAGGGAGCGACGCCGCGUGGAGGAAGGAGUCUUUCGAGAUGUAAACUCCUGUUGUAAGGGAGCAAGGGUAUAUGUAGUGGAAAGGCAUAUACUCGGAUAGUACCUUACGAGGAAGCCCCGGCUAACUACGUGCCAGCAGCCGCGGUAAUACGUAGGGGGCGAGCGUUGUCCGGAGUUACUGGGCGUAAAGGGUGCGUAGGUGGCCGAUAAAGUCAAUUGUGAAAUUCCACGGCUCAACUGUGGGAGUGCGGUUGAAACUAAUCGGCUUGAGGUCAGGUCAGGAAGAUGGAAUUGUCAGUGUAGGGGUGAAAUCCGUAGAUAUUGGCAAGAACGCCGGUGGUGAAGACGGUCUUCUGGGCUGAUACUGACACUGAGGCACGAAAGCUAGGGGAGCGAACGGGAUUAGAUACCCCGGUAGUCCUAGCCGUAAACGAUGUUCACUGAGUAUGGGAGGCGUUAGCCAUCCGUGCUGAAGCAAACGCGUUAAGUGAACCGCCUGGGGAGUACGG
rnacentral:rRNA from 1 species